rnacentral:rRNA from 1 species
CAGCGCCACGAGUGGUAACCACGUUUAUUGGGCCUAAAGCGUCCGUAGCCGGUUUGAUAAAUCUUUUGUGAAAUUGUACAGCUUAACUGUACAGCGUGCAAGAGACACUGUCAAACUUGAGACCGGGAGGAGUCAGAAGUAUUCCAGAGGGAGCGGUAAAAUGUUAUAAUCUCUGGAGGACUACCUGUGGCGAAGGCGUCUGACCAGAACGGAUCUGACGGUGAGGGACGAAAGCUAGGGGAGCGAACCGGAUUAGAUACCCGAGUAGUCC